AAUCAGUUUCCACCUUCCAGAGAUCACCCACGGCCCCAAGCUCCAGAAGGCAGAAACCACCCAAGCACAGUUCACCACCCAGUCACACACAGCCAUCAGCCUCUUCGCAGUCGCAUACCCACCAGCCCACCACCACCAAACGAGCAGCCACAGCAGCGACGAUGUUGACCACCGCAACCACCACCGUCGUUGCCGAGCUCGCCUCCUCCUUGGUCGUCGCCGAGCUCGCCUACUCGUUGGUCGUCGCCGACACCGCGUCCUCGCCGUUACUCGCCUCCUCCUAAUCUACUAAUCCGGGAAGCCUGCCCCCAAGCCUAGCCUCCACCACCGCCUUGUGCCUCUAUUGCCGCUGCGCCAUUCGUCGCACCGACCCCUGUUCGCUCUCAGACUCACCAGUCGCAGGCACGCUGUUUCUUCCUCGAGCGUCCGUCGUCUUCCUCUUCCCCUGGAGCUGCUGCAUGCCUGCAUACAAAGGAUUUCUUGAUUCUUGAAGGUCAUGAGGAAGCUCAAGAAGAGUUGCCUAAGAAAGCAAAAAUCUUCUUUAGUACUGCAGUUCAGAACUGGGAUGCUGACUUUUAUGUGAAAGUUGAUGACAGUAUUGACAUUGAUCUGGAGGGAUUAAUUGACCUUCUUAACCGCCGCCGCGGUCAGGAUGGGGCAUAUAUUGGAUGCAUGAAAUCUGGAGAAGUGAUAUCAGAAGAGGGCAAGGCAUGGUAUGAGCCUGAAUGGUGGAAAUUUGGGGAUGAAAAGUCGUAAGUGAUAUAACUUUCUAUGGAAGUUUUUGUUUAUUAAAGGAGAGAUUUAAGUAGCAAUGGUUACCUUACUGCAAUUACCUUGUCAUACCUUGUCAUUUAUGUGCGUUUUGAAUAUUGUCAUUUGAAGUUGUUUAUGACCUUUUAAUGAUAAAUUAUGUAUUGUACAUUUUGUGAAAUUGUUAAAUUUUGAAUUUUAUUAA